rnacentral:lncRNA from 1 species
UCAUAUAUUUUAUAAAAUCAACUAAAAAAUGUGUUACCUUCAUCAUUGCAUUUUAAUAAAUUAUUAAAGGUAAUUUACUGGUCAAAAUUAAUGUGUGCAGGACAAAUCAAACUAAUUGGGAUGAUGUCUAAAUUAAUGUGUGCAGGUUACGUUUACAGCUGAACCCGUGUCCAUAGCCUUCGGAACAAAGCCGUUUGCCCCAUCCUAGCAUUCUUAUCCUCUCCGGAUCACAUCUCUCGGCUUAUUCCCAGAUGCAUCCUCUCAGAUCACACGUCCGAACUUCUCAGUUUAAACAAAACAGAGCCACAAUCUUCUAAAUGCUCCACCGUCCUUUGGAUUAAUCCCACGAACGGAAUCCCCAGCACCUUUGGAUUAAUCCUAUUACCCGGAUCAGCCAAGCCAACUCCUUCAAACGCCCCUUCCCGAUUAUCUUCCAACUUCUUCCCAGCAGAAGGUUCCCAACUGCCAGCCGAAGGAAGUCAAACAGCUUCCUCUUCUUCCGGAUCUCAUGGAGCAGCCCAACGU